rnacentral:rRNA from 1 species
GACGAACGCUGGCGGCGUGCUUAACACAUGCAAGUCGAACGGAAAGGCCCUGCUUUUGUGGGGUGCUCGAGUGGCGAACGGGUGAGUAACACGUGAGUAACCUGCCCUUGACUUUGGGAUAACUUCAGGAAACUGGGGCUAAUACCGGAUAGGAGCUCCUGCUGCAUGGUGGGGGUUGGAAAGUUUCGGCGGUUGGGGAUGGACUCGCGGCUUAUCAGCUUGUUGGUGGGGUAGUGGCUUACCAAGGCUUUGACGGGUAGCCGGCCUGAGAGGGUGACCGGCCACAUUGGGACUGAGAUACGGCCCAGACUCCUACGGGAGGCAGCAGUGGGGAAUAUUGCACAAUGGGCGGAAGCCUGAUGCAGCAACGCCGCAUGCGGGAUGACGGCCUUCGGGUUGUAAACCGCUUUCGCCUGUGACGAAGCGUGAGGGACGGUAAUGGGUAAAGAAGCACCGGCUAACUACGU